rnacentral:lncRNA from 1 species
CCGAGAGUGAUCUUCGGUGAAUGUUAUCCAACAUGAGUAGUAUUAUGUUUUUGGACAAGUGCCACUAACAUCUAAGUGAAUUAACCUCAACAACUUUGUGAUUCUUUCUUCUUUCCAAAAGAAUAAAGAUUCGAACAUUUCGCCUCUAUACAAUUUUAACAAGAAGGUAUUGGAUCCAGAUCUAAUGAUCCAAAGCGUCCAUCUAUGACCAACUCGUAAUUUAUGUUUUAGAGGUAUCACAACUUUAGUUGGGAUUAGUCACUACUUUGCAACCUUUUGGGUUUUUAAGCAUCAUUAUAUUCUAAACAGUUAACACUACCAUAUCAUCUCUACUAUAGAGAUAAUUAAUUAGAUUACAAUAAUCUAAUCAUUGAUUAAUAAAGAACAAUGUUUUGUCAAACAAAACAUUCAUCCAUCUCUACUAUAGUGAUGGAAUUAAAUUCCUUAAAAUUGGAAUGUAAAGACAAUCUUUGGUUUUUCCAAUUUCUUUGGUAAUUCAUAUGAGGAAGUAAGUACCAUCUGCUUUCGCAGAAAUCUAUAUUUUAUUCACUUUCCGAAUGUGAAGUACUUUCUCUUCUCUCAUAUAUCUUCUACUUCUUAUUAGCCAUACUUUUACAACGAUUGUAAAACUUUAGUUACUAAUACGGAAUCAAGCAUUCAAGUAGAAGAACCAACUGUUUUGAACUAUUCAAGAACAAUUUACAACGCCUUCGAAAGGUGUGUUCUUGACACUUGCAAGACAUUUCUUGCAAAUACCCCUUCCAAUGUCCAUCCUUUCAUAAAGAAAGUUUGUUCCCUUGGAGUUAUUUUGCUUUCUUCAUUUGACUUCUCCUUUGACUACCAUAGUCAAGGUCCCUAAACUCCCACUAUCUCUCUUGAAACUUAUUUCAAUUGUGUUAUACACAUCAAACAUUUUGGAGAGCAUGUGGUUAUUGUACACUACAUAGUUUACAAUAAACUUAGUGAACGAUUAGGAUAGGGACACAAAGGUGAAGUCCUUGCCUAGUUCCCGUCUCUAGAAGUGUUUUAAUACUUCAACACUCAAUGAUUCAAAAUCAUCAUAAGUCCAUGUUGAUGGACUAUUUUUGUCAACCAACCAUUAUGUUCUAAACAUAAUUACAAACUUUCAAGAGUUGUUCAAAGCAACU